AUUAUUUAGGACAUGAUUCUCUGCCAGUUUGGGAGUGAGGGGACAGCACCUGGGUGCUGGGGAGAAUCUCCCUGUGGUUUCCUUGGUCCUCUGGCUGCUGCUGCUGGCUCAGUGGGAUGUUUACUCAUGGGACUUCUUGCUGCAGGAUGCUCUGGAGGACAAAUUUGGCUUCACCAGCUCGUGGAGAAGAGGUUUCCAGGGGAUUUUAAGCCUCGUGGUCUGGAUUCAGCCUCCAGCAUCCCUGUGCCAGGACAUGCUGAAAGCCAGCAAUGAGUUCUUAAAGCCAGGAAGAACAUCUCCUCACUCUUAUUUUGGGCUUGCAAGCUUCCACAUCUCCUCUUGACCUCCUUCAGAGGUGUGGGAAUUGCUGAUCCCACCUGGAUGUCUCAUAAUAUUCCUCAUCAUGCAUCAGUUGGGUGUCCCCUAGUGAUGGGAGAGCAGCUGCUUCUUCCAUUCGCUGUCCGGAGGCAAAACUAACAACAGCAAAGCUCAAAAUUUGGGUCAAUGUGAACUGUAUCUUUAUUAGGGGGAAAAAAAAAAAAUGUCUCAAGUUUCCAUUUUGGGUCAGCAGGUGUCAGAGGACCUGCCAGGAAACAUCUUGUUGAAAAGAAAUUAAUUUAUUUGUGGAAACCUCAUUUUGUUUUGAAGAAAUCAAAGGCAGGCACGUCAAGGUUUGGAAAGACUUUCAACUGUUCUUUUCUCUGGCUGUGUCAUGGAAAAAGAAAGCCGGAUUUCUGCUGGAAUUCUGUGAUCUGGGUCUGAAAGUGCCUGUGAGACCCAGAGGAGCUGCUUCCUCCCAGGUGAUGACCCCCCUGCAGAUGAUGCCUGGACGACGACCACACUUGGGGCUCCACCUCUUUGACUGUCCUAAGGCGAGGCCCAGCUUGCAGGGAACAUGGGCUGGAUGUGACAACCCUGAUGGGAUAAAGGUGGGACCCCUCUGCGUGUGGGUAACCCCGUAAACUUCACAGUCUGGAAGGAACAUGGAUCUUCAGGAGACCCAGGAGCAGGUCCUGGUGACGAUGUGACUGCUGGGAAUGUAUAUCCUGGGGCAGGAGGCAGAGAGAGGAAACGAAACCUUUCUUCUGCUCAUCUGCUUUGCUUCCUGGAAAUCUUCUUUUCCAAGCAGCUCUGCCCUUGCUGCAGCCCUGUCUUGGAGGCUUUCCAGCCGCUUCAAGAAGAAGCCUGGUCCAAGGUUAACAAGACUGAGUUGGAGCUGUGUGACUCUGCUUUCCUUGCUGCCCGAAAAUGGGUGGCACCUCAGCUCAUGGCUGAGUAUCCCUGGUCCAUCGUGUCCUCCUGCCGCUGACGCAGACGGGUCCAAGCCGAGGGCGCAGAGGGAGCCCGGGAUGGAUGGAGCGAUCCGACCUCCUUUCCCAGGCUCACCUCAGGUUUUACCGAAGAGCUCUGUCACCGCAGGAGGUGGAGGGGGGGGCAAAGCACCGAACAAAUGCUUUGUGACAGCCGGGAAAUGCCGUGGCCUUUGCGAUGGAGCGGAGCUGACGGGCGGCACCGCUCCCUGUGCGAGCUGAGCCUCCCCUUCCAGCGCUGCUCCGCAGUGACCGCGCCUGUGGAACGGUGCUGGGCGGUGGAGUCAGUAGAGGCUGACUGGACCCCUUGGAGAUGGGCUCGGACCCCCCGGAGUCCCCUUAGAGGAGGCUUUUUGUGUGCAGAGUGCAAGCUGCAUCCAUAGUUAUUGCCCUGUUUUCAAACUUUGUUGCUGUUUUUAUCCCCUCUCCCUGGUGCUGGAUGUGGGUCCUGAGCCUUCCACUGCAGCCAGUGCUGCUGGUGCUGGGUUCACCCCCACAUCCUUGUGGAUCUGCAGCGGUUCUUGCUGGAAUGCAUACGGCUUGCAUCAAGAUGAAGGAAAUCUCAGGGAUUUUUGGAGCAUCAGCAAGACAAGGGGCAGCUGGAGAGCAUUCCCGGCCAUCCACUGUCCCGAUUUGGUGCAGCCUUUAAGGGUUCUCCACUCCAUGGACCAUUGUGCUCAAACGGGAUGGGCAUUGAGACAGCCACUUUGAGGCUGGGAGAUCUUCCCCUGGCAAAUCAGGGAAUUUUGGGAAUUUCUAACCAAGCAUCCCCCUUCCCUGGGAUGAGCUGAGCCGUUCUGCCCCGACCCCGCUGGGGUUGCGCUUGCCAGGGCUUGUGUUUCCCCCCUCAGCACCUCCAGCCAAGCUCAUUUCCCCAGUUAAACGUUAUUAGUCCUUGAAUGAAAGGAGGAGGGAGGCAGAGAGGAAGGAUUUUUAUUGGGAAGUCGUUUGUUCCUUAAUUGAAUUGCUCCCGUUAACAGCGGUGAGAGAAGGGGAACAAAAAGCCAAAUAGGAGGUAAAGGCGCUUAUUUGCUUCUGCUUGAGAGGAGCUAAUAUUAAUAAACUUCUGGAUGAAGGGAUUUGUAAGGGUUUGAUAGAGGGAUUAACUCCAAAAUGAUGAUUAGAUUUUCUGGAGUAAACUCCCUGAUAAACAAGGGAGACAAGAUGCAGAUGUUAUCCCUGCACAGAGUGGGGUCCCUCCCAGCUGCCAGAUCUGGAGUGUGAAGGAGUCACUCCCUGCUCUGGGACAGGGUACUUCCUCCAGGUUUAUCCCAAAACCAAGCAGAGGUGAUGUCCUGGGCCUUUCCUAAAAUGCCUUGGUCAUCACUCACCACAAGGACACUGCAAACCUCAGCUUGGGUGGAGGUGGCACCACUUGGAAGAACAAUAUGCUCUAAGGAGCAGGAUCUGGGGGCCACUGGGUGUCCAUCCUAGUGGUGGCCCCACCAGCCAGGUCCCAUCCCAGGGAUGGAUGUUUGGAAAAACUGUGGUCUCCAUGCAGCUUUUUCUGGGAGUACAGUUGGUGGGGGUUGAUGUCUUAGGGGUGUGGGAAGAGUUGGGUCAAACUUUCAUCCUUGGAGGAACUUCUGAGCUCUUUUCUGUCACCUUUUUGGCUUUCUUUUAAUGAAAUAUUUUAUUUCAGGCAUCUUGACAGGUUGCUCAUUUAAAAAAAACAACAGUUUGACUUUUGCCCUUUUAAUUAUUCUUAUUUUUUCUUAAUUUAAAAAUUCAUGUAAGUAGAGGAUACAAACUCCUGAAACAGCACUGGGGCAAAGACACACACAUUGUCCCGAGGCAAAGAAAAUCCCUCUGCUUGUCUUCAACCCAUUUUUUUUUUCCACUUUGAUUUUGCUGAAGCUUUUUUUCAACCCAAAUAUAUUUGUUUCCUCAAGUUUUUGGUUUGUUCCCUGGAUAAACUCUCCGUGCUGUUGCCUACUCCAUGUAGAGGUAGACCACCCAACCCAGAGAUGUCCCAACCUGCUGCUGCACUUCCCAGCCCUGGAGAUGCAGAUCCCACUGGAGCUGAAUGGCUCCAUCCCA